GGCUGCGUGGUCUAGUGGUAUGACGUUUCCUUCACACGGAAAAGAUCCCGAGUUCGAUCCUCGGCGCGGUCA
rnacentral:tRNA from 1 species